GAUGAACGCUGGCGGCGUGCUUAACACAUGCAAGUCGAACGGUGAAGCAGAGCUUGCUCUGUGGAUCAGUGGCGAACGGGUGAGUAACACGUGAGCAACCUGCCCCUGACUCUGGGAUAAGCGCUGGAAACGGCGUCUAAUACUGGAUAUGAGCUGCGACCGCAUGGUCAGCAGUUGGAAAGAUUUUUCGGUCUGGGAUGGGCUCACGGCCUAUCAGCUUGUUGGUGAGGUAAUGGCUCACCAAGGCGUCGACGGGUAGCCGGCCUGAGAGGGUGACCGGCCACACUGGGACUGAGACACGGCCCAGACUCCUACGGGAGGCAGCAGUGGGGAAUAUUGCACAAUGGGCGAAAGCCUUAUGCAGCAACGCCGCGUGAGGGAUGACGGCCUUCGGGUUGUAAACCUCUUUUAGCAGGGAAGAAGCGAAAGUGACGGUACCUGCAGAAAAAGCGCCGGCUAACUACGUG
rnacentral:rRNA from 1 species